UACGUAGGGGGCAAGCGUUGUCCGGAAUCAUUGGGCGUAAAGCGCGUGUAGGCGGCCCGGUAAGUCCGCUGUGAAAGUCCAGGGCUCAACCCUGGGAUGCCGGUGGAUACUGUCGGGCUCGAGUCCGGAAGAGGCGAGUGGAAUUCCUGGUGUAGCGGUGAAAUGCGCAGAUAUCGGGAGGAACACCGGUGGCGAAGGCGGUUCUCUGGGCCUACCUGACGCUGAGGAGCGAAAGCGUGGGGAGCGAACAGG
rnacentral:rRNA from 1 species